UUUGAAUCUUUAUUACCUAAUACCAAAGAAAAGACUUGUAUCCUUAUUCUAUUGAAUGUCAAAUUUUUCCUUCUUUCUUCUCUUUUUAAAACAAGUUUUUAGAAGAAGGAUUUGAGUUCCCUCACUCAACAUUGUGAAAGGUGUUUGAGCUUAUUUUGUCUUUAAUGCCACAAAGAGUCAAAACUCACCAUAUAUAUAUUUGAUUCAAAUAUGUUUGGCCCAAUAUACAAAUUUAGAAGUAUAUAUUUUUGUCACAGAUACAGAAAUACAGACUCGAGAUCUAACAAGAAGUUCAAGAAGAACUUGUAAGAACUAGAUUAAUCAGAUGAGAACAACACCAAAGAGGUGAACUAGAGCUCCAAGAGAUGUGUUGUGGAGACUGAAGAACUCUUCAGCCUCGAUUCCAAUAUAUAUUCCUAUUUAGGAAGCUUCUCAAGCAACUUCUACCAACUAGGAAGCUUCUAGAAGGUUCCAGAGACUUGCUUCUAGAAGGUUCUAGAAACUUAUCUCUAGAAGGUUCUAAGGACUAUGUCCCUAACAUCUUCUACCAACUAAGAAGCUUCUAGAAGGUUCCAGAGACUUGCUUCUAGAAGGUUCUAGAAACUUGUCUCUAGAAGGUUCUAAGGAUUAUGUCCCUAACAUCACCCCCUCCUUUAGCUUCGAGGUCUCUGAGAAGCAAUGUUGUUGUUAAUCAUUACCAACGCAAGAAAAUGAAGAUCUGUCGCAUAACGUCAGCUAUGAACUUGAACUAUUGUUCACGAGGCAAGUGGUUCAUCGGCCCAUGAAGCCAACGGUAGUGGCCCACUCCUUCAACUUCUAACCAAGCAUGAACUUCCGUGUCCUCAUUGUGGAAUUGUCCUGCAAACACGCCUUUUGGCUCACCGUUGUAAGUAGGCUCGGACUCAAAUACAAUCACCAGUGAUCGGUUACUCGGUAUCCUCUAUCGUCGUCAUGGUGUAGGCGGUUCUUCAUCUCGGAGUCGCCUUUGUGAGCUAGUCGGUUGAGAUAAACUGACUGGCAUAGUAUCUAUCUCUUGGCUAUCCAUAUCAGAAGACCAAACUAUGGCUACUGAAAAAAUUCUAUUUUAUCUUGGAGAAAAUAACUACAUCAACUACGAAUUUUGGUGGUGCUCUCCCCCUUUCUUAUAUUCUUGGGUGAGCAAGCUUCAGAAGGAAGCUAUCGUCAAACCGGCUUAGGUUUAUGAGGAUGUUGUUGAUGAAACUCCUGUACCUUUUGCAGCGCAUUGGCAAGAUUUUCAGUUGGCUCCCACGUUUGCUCAUUAAUGUUGUAGCCGCACCAAUGAACAAGAUACUCCAACUUGUCCCACCUUCGCCGUGAAUCCAGUACCUUUUCAACCUCGUAUCCUUUAUGGUUCUCGAUCUCAAUACUAGGUGGCGGACAUUGUACUCUUCCAAGAAAAGACGACUCUCGAUAAGGCUCUAACAGAGAAACAUGAAAGACUGGAUGUACCUUCAUAGAAGCAGGUAAUUUUAGAUGGUACGCCACUAGAUUGAUUUGCUUCUGGAUGAUAAAUGGUCUCAAUCUUCGAUAGUCCAACUUAUCACAUAGUCGCUUGGUCUUGAUAUUCCGUCGAAGAAGCCAUGCUUUAUCUCCAAUUUUGAAAGUAGGUGCUUGAUUCCGAAAUCUAUCUACAGACACCUUGUAGGAUUCUUGAGUGGAUUGUAAUUGAAGCUUCAACGUAUUUUGAAGCUCUGAUAGUUGUUUCGCAAAUCCUUCAGCUGCUGGAUUGUUAUUUGUUGACGGACUCGAUAAAUCAAGCUUCGGAUGAUACCCAUAGUUAGAAAAGAAUGGUGUGUAUUGAGUCGACGCAUGGAGGGUGUUGUUAUAUGCAAACUCCGCUAGCGACAGAUAUGUGGUCCAAUCGUCUUGCUGAUAGUUGAUACUGCAUCGUAAGUAUUGUUCCAAGACAUGGUUCACCCAUUCCGUUUAGCCGUCAGUAUGAGGAUGAAAAGCCAAAGAAAGCUUGAUAUCCACCUUCAGUAUCUCAUAGAGAGAUCUCCAAAACUUUGAUACGAACUGGGUUCCUCGAUCUGAUACGAUAUCAUCUGGUAGUUCAUGAUAUCGAUACACAUUAUUGAAAAAGAGCCUUGCUGUGACUUCACUAGACGAUGUCUUCUUGCAAGGAACAAAGUGCGCCAUCUUUGUAAGCCGAUCUACCACGACAAAGAUGCUGUCAAAUGGGUUCGAUGAUGGAAGAUCCGUGAUGAAGUCCAUGGAAACUGAAGACCAUGGUCGACGUAGAAUCGGCAAUGGCUAUAGGAGUCCAUAAAGGCGAUGUCGAGGAUUCUUGGAUCUUGAACAAAUAUCGUAGGAGAGGACAAAAUCUUUCACAUCCUUUCACAUUUGGGGCCACCAAAAAUCUCGAGAAAUAAGCUCCAAGGUCUUGUUGAAUCCAAAAUAUCCCCCAGCUAGAAAAUCAUGGCGAGAUUGAAGAACUCGGAGUCGUGUUGGUCCUUUUGGAAUAUACAACCGCUCCUCAAAGUAUAAAAGAUCUCCGUCCACCUUGAAUUUGUCGUCAUUGGCACGCUGCUUGAUAUCAAUGGCUACUGAAUCUUUAAUGGUCGCAGCACGUACCUGAUUCAAGAAGUCAGCAUCAAUUGGCACAAUAGUAGCACAAAGCCGAAAUUGCUCUAGCUUCAACAACGUCAUACAUUGUUGAUCAAACGUUGCUUCUCCAGCCUUUGGUAUAAGAUACGAUUUCCUCGAUAAGGCAUCAGAUAGUCCUUGCUGCUUUCCAGGUUGAUAAGUGAUAACAAUAUCGAACCUAGAUAGCAACAUACUCCACCGAGCUUGAUGUCGAUUUAGAACUCGAGCCGACAUGAAAUACUCCAAAUUCUUGUGAUCUGUGUAUACGGUCACUGGGUGUGUAGCUCCUUCAAGAAAAUGAUGCUAUUCUUGGAAAGAAUCCACUAUAGCAAGAAGUUCCUUAUCGUGGAUCUCAUAAUUGAUUUCAACAGCAGAGAACUUUCGAGAAUAGAAUGCAACCGGAUGGAGCUUCUUGUCUUCUCUCAUUUGUAAAAGUACUGCUCCCAAAGCAAAAUCCGAAGCAUCAGUUUCUAAAUAAAAGGCCUUUGUAAAGUCUGGAUGUACCAAGAUUGGAGCCAUAAUAAAUGCGAUCUUCAGGUCUUGAAAAGCCUUCUCCGCUAGAGGUCCCCAUUCCAACUUAUCCUUGCAUGUCAACCGAGUGAGAGUAGCAGCAACUUGAGAGUAAUUCUUGAUGAAGAUCCGAUAGAAGUUGGCAAAGCCAAGAAAGCAUUGUACGUCUCUCACCAUCUUCGAAACCUCCCAGGACACGAUUACUUCCACCUUCUUGGGAUCCAUCUUCAAGCCUUCCGUAGUCGCAACGAACUCCAAAAACUCCAUCUCUAUUUGGUGAAAUAAACACUUCUCCAACUUGGCAUAUAGUCCUCGCUCGCGUAGUUUCUCCAAGACCAAACGAACAUGCUUUUCAUACUCUUCCUCAUUUUUGGAAAAUAUCAAAAUAUCAUCCAAAUAGAUGACAACAAAAUUGUCAAGGUCCUCUCGGAAAAUGUCAUUCAUCAUAUGUUGAAAGACCGCUGGAGCAUUGAUAAGACCAAAGAGCAUGACAUUAUACUCAAAAUGGCCAUACCUUGUACGGAACGCUGUCUUCCACUCAUCUCCUUCCUUGAUUCAUACGAGGUUUUAGGCUCCCUUUAGAUCAAUUUUUGUAAAGAUCCUUACACGUCCAAGUUGUUCUAAGAGACCAGAAAUCAAGGAUAAAGGGUAACGAUUCUUCUUUGUUACCUUGUUGAGGCCUCAAUAGUCCAUGCACAUCCACAAUGAGCCAUCAUUCUUCUUCACAAAUAAGAUGGGUGCUCCAACUGACAAUUUUGAAUGACGGAUGAAGUUCUUGGCUAGAUUCUUGUCAAUGUACUUCCGCAACUCUACCAACUCCAUCUGCGAUAGAUUGUAGAUUGGGCCAAAUGGCGGUUGUGCUCCUUCUUGUAAAUCUAUGGCACAAUCAUAUGGUUUGUGUUCCGGUAGCAUGUCGACAUUUUUCUUUUGAAACACGUCUUUAAAAUCCUUAUAUUGCUCCGGUAUACUUGCUGUCGAGAUCUUCUCCCCGGUAGUUGGAGCCGUAUAAAUAACAAACAGUGUGCCUUCCUUGGACGAUCUUAUAAACGCUCUUGCUCCAAUAAAUAAGGAUUUCUCUAUUCGGGGUUUUUUACUAGGCUUGCUCUUGGGUGGUUUUGUCGGAAAGGUCAUCUUCCGCAACUUCCAAUCUAUAGAUGGGUUAUGCUUUUCCAACCAGGAAAGACCAAGAAUAACAGAAUUUGAUGGGGUUCUAAUAAUAUUGAAAAUAAUAUGACUACUAUGGCCCUUAAAUGUCACUUCUAUAGGUUCUGAUUCAUGGGUGACACUACCAGACAAUAAAGGUCACCCAUCUAUGACCUCAACGUGAACAGGUUUGGAUUUUUGUACUAAAGGGAUCUUAUGAUGCUUCACAAAUUCUUCGUCUAAGAAACAAGCAGAUGCUCUUGAAUCUAAUAAUGCUAAGGUUCUCAGUUUCUGAGGGCCAAUAAGCAAAGGGAUUGUAAAACAAAGGGCAGGUUGAGCGGAAAGAAAAGAACCUGGUUGUUGUUGCGAUAUUUCACUGUCCAGCCGCACGGUUCCUAUUGUGGCUGGGCAUCCUCGUUUUCUUGAAUAAACGUGCUACUAGUCUUGACAAUACGUCGAUUUUGUUUCUUGGGGCAGUUUCCAACUUUGUGGCCUUCUUCACCGCAAUACAAGCAUAGACCUUCUUCCAUACGCCGCUUUUUUUCUUCUAGAGUAAGAGAUUUGACACAUACCGCAUCAAUUUACAUGUCUUCUAUCUCUGAAUGUGAAUUCACGCUGUUUGCCGACAUAGUUGAGGCGUGGUGAACCAUAUGUUGUCUUAAACGUUGGUCUUGGCGGCGUUGGAAUAGGCGGUUAUUGUACUUCACAGCUUGGCUAAUAGCUUCGUUGAGCAUUUGCGGAUCAGGAAGAGUUAACAACAAAUCCUUCACAUCGUCCCUUAAAUCCUAAUAGAAUUGAUUCAUCAACGCUUCUUCGUCCCAAUUGAUGUCGCAUGCUAAUUGCUUGAAGUCCGAUGCAUAGACUGAUGUAGAGCGCAUCCCUUGUCGUAGUGACCGGAUCUUUGUUGUAGCCCAUUGAACCUUGUGGUGUUCACCAAAUGCUUCCGCAAACGCCUCCAAAAAGGUUUCAAAGUUGUUUAGUAUGGACGAUCGUUUCUCAAACAAAGGAGCAAACCAUAAUAGAGCUUGUCCUAUAAAUAAGGUUCCAACAAGUCUAACACGUGACUCCUCUGUUGGAUAGCGUUCGGGUUGUAAAACUGUUAUCAACCUGAUUUGGUUGACGAAUCCUCGAAACUUGGAACGCGUACCAUCGAACUUGUUUGGAAGGCUAACUCAGGGCUCUUUAUGUUGUAGAACUAGCGGUGCUUGUCGAACUUGAGGCAAAGUUGCUUCUCCAAGUGCAGAAGUUUGAGGCUGGUGCAACCUAGAUUGUGUCAUCCUAGAUGCUCCAUCAUUAUGAAGCCUUGCCACGACUCCUUCAAUCUCUGCAAUUCUUUGCAAUAACGUAGCGAGGGCAUUCAUAAUAGCAUCCAACUUGGACUCCGAACUUUCUGUCAUAUUAAUAUCUUGGCCCCCGGCCAUUCUAAGAGAAGGACAGAAAUGACUCUAUAAGAAGACAAUAUUUGUUUAGAGGAGGGUACUCCGCAACCUCUAAAAUGCCUUAAGAGCUUCAAGAAAAGGGGUAAUCCACUCUCUUCAAGAAGAAUAAGACUCCAAUAUUGUAACAAAAGAAGUAUCAGUUUAGAGGAGGGUAAUCCGCAACCUCUAAAAUGCUAGUACACUUCCAAGCAGAGGGGUAGUCUACACUCUAACAAAGAAGAAACUAGCUUUGAUAUCUGAGGUGAGUGAAGUCUCGACAAACUGUCACGGACACAGAAAUACAGACUCGAGAUCUAACAAGAAGUUCAAGAAGAACUGGCAAGAACUAGAUUAAUCAGAUGAGAACAACACCAAAGAGGUGAACUAGAGCUCCAAGAGAUGUG
rnacentral:lncRNA from 1 species